CUGUAAGAUUGGGUUCACCAUUAAAGUGAGUCUUCAUCAGCAAGGGCAUUGGAAAGAAUGGAAGAUUAAAGCAGCUUGCGGAGACAAUCUUCAUCUGACAUUGACUCAAGACCAUUCACCCUUCUGGUUGCCCUUCUCUCAACAUUCUCCAGUUCAUCAGUGUUCUUAAGCUGUGGUCCCCAGAACUGAAGACUGUCCUCCAGAGAAGGCCUAACUAGGGCAGCAUACAGUGGGCUUAUCACCUCCCCCUUCCUGGAAGAUACACCUCUCUUAGUGCAAACCAAGAUAGCAUUACCUUUCUUCGUGGCCACAUCCUUCUGCUGAUUCAUUAAACCUUCAGUUCGAUAAAACCCCCAGAUGCUUCAACUGAUGUCUAACAACUCUUUCUCUAUCCUAUUCUUGUGAGGCUGAUUCCCAAGUAUAACGUUUAAUUUAACCCUAUUGAAUUUCAUGACAUUAGAUUCAGUCCAAUGCUAGCCUGUCAAGAUCUAUUGGAUCCUAACUCUAUCUUCCAUUGUGAGUUGAUGACUAAAUUUAUAAUAAAAAUGAAUUUUUUUAAGUUA